GCAAACUUGGUCAUUUAGAGGAAGUAAAAGUCGUAACAAGGUUUCCGUAGGUGAACCUGCGGAAGGAUCAUUAUUGAAUAAACUUGGUGGGCUGUCGCUGGCUUUACGAAGCAUGUGCACGCUUGCUGACUUUAUCCAUCCACCUGUGCACCUUUUGUAGUCUUGGAAGUUUGAAAGUAGCUAUGGGAGAACUUGGUUCUCCUGGGUUGCGAUCCCUUCUCUGACUAUGUUUUACAUACACUACGUAGCAUGUCACAGAAUGCAUUGAUAAGGCCUUUGUGCCUAUAAACAUCAAUACAACUUUCAGCAACGGAUCUCUUGGCUCUCGCAUCGAUGAAGAACGCAGC
rnacentral:misc_RNA from 1 species